CGCAUCUGUGCAUGCAGCAUAUCAAUAAGCGGAGGAAAAGAAACUAACAAGGAUUCCCUAGUAACGGCGAGUGAAGCGGGAAGAGCUCAAAUUUGAAAUCUUCAAGGUUUUACCUUGACGAAUUGUAGUUUAAAGAAGUGUUUUCUGUUGAAGUUUUGGUAAAAGUUCUUUGGAAUAGGACAUCAUAGAGGGUGAGAAUCCCGUAUUUGACCAUUAUUUUCAGCUGUGUGAUACACUUUCAAAGAGUCAGAUUGUUUGGGAAUGCAGUCCAAUAUGGGUGGUAAAUUUCAUCUAAAGCUAAAUAUUGGCGAGAGACCGAUAGCGAACAAGUACCGUGAGGGAAAGAUGAAAAGAACUUUGAAAAGAGAGUUAAACAGUACGUGAAAUUGUCAAAAGGGAAGCGUUUGACACCAGUGUUGUUUUCUCGAAAAUCAAUUAAAAAGAGUUAGAUUUUGUUGUGUAUAGACCUUAACAGCUUGCAUUUCAAUUUUCUUGCUUUUUUUAAUGCACUUUUCGUUUAACAAGUCAACAUCAGUUUCUUUUGUUGUAAAAAGGUCAUUGGAAGGCGGCUUUCUUUUCGGAGAAAGUGUUUAUAGCCUUUGACUCCUGCAAUCGGAGAGACUGAGGUCUGCAGCGUAGAUCCUUCGGGGUUAGAUACAUUUGUGCUAAGUUAUAGCUUCUUAUAGACAACUUGUUGACUAUGAUUAGUCUUGUAGCUUACUCGCUUAUGCUAUUUUACCUACGCUUAGGAUGUUGAUGUGAUACUGCGAGCA
rnacentral:rRNA from 1 species